UCUCGUGCCAAUACCUUUCAGAAAAACUAACUCUCAAAAAUAAUAUUACUAAAAUUGCACGGGAAACCAAUUGCUCCCAGACUACAACGGAAAAAAAACAUUUUUCUUUUACUUAGUGGAUUUCCCCCGUCACGCCUCUUCGAUCGAUUCAGUUUUCUCUUCUCUCUGCCACCAGAGCUGCCACAUCAGACAUCACAACGUAGCUGUAGUCACAAGUCUCGGGCGGAAUCUGUAGUGCGUUGCAGCUUUUGUUGAUGAUGGAAGUGAAGAAAAGGGCAGAUACAGCUAAAAAUGCUUCCAAAAUAUUUUUGACUGAUGAAAGAAUCCAGCCAACCCAACAUUUUAGAUGGAAUGACAGAGUGAAUACUGGUGGAUAAUUUUUUGUAUGGACUCUUUAUCUACAAAGCCCACAAAUUUGUUAAUGAAGGAUUUGUUUCUUCAUCUUGAGCCUGUUUCACUGCGUGAAAUGUUGUGAAAUAUUUAAGAAUCCAUUUCAAUGUCAACCCUGUGUAAGUGGCGAACAAGUUUCAAGAAUUGACGAACUGUAGCUCAUGUAUAUUGUAAGAGGUCAGGCGACUAAAAUGAAUGCACAGUGCUUGAGGCCAUCCAAAAUCAACCCACCCUGUUGUGAGAAGUUAAGGAAUCCAUUUAAAUGUCAAUCCUUUGCAAGAAUAGAGAUGGAAGAGUCGACAAACUGUAGCUGAUCCAUAUUGUAAAAGGCGAUUAAAAGGAGCACCCAGUGCUUGGGGGUAUAACCGAGCCACCCUGCCUCCAGGGGUCAUAAAUAUGGAGGUCUGGUCCUCCAGGUUGGGGGUUGGGUGUAGGGCUUCUGCCCUACCCCGUAAAAAAAUAUUCAUUAAAGCAUGUUGAAGAUUUUCCUGCAAAUGAUAAAUAAAGGACUUCAGCACUGAAAUUAAAAAUAAUUGAUAGUCAAGAUAUUGUUAUGAUCUAUUCGAAAUGAGAUUUCUCAAAUCUAGAUAUUGCUAUUUUUAAUGCGAUUAUUUUUUUUCACUCUUAUGACUUACAACAGUUUUGGCAUACAAUUUUUAAAUUCUCAAUCUUACAAUUUUAUAACUUAUCUCAACUUCUGAAUAUUUUUACUGCAAAUGUAUUUGCAUAUCAUUUUAUAAUAUUGUAGUAGGUUCUAAAUUACGUUACAGCAUAGUAUUAUUUGGUGGUGAUGAGGUGAUAUAAAUAAAUUCAUUGCUCUCUGUUUUUGGUACAAAAUGAAUUUCUAGGGAGCUUUCAAAUUUUUUUAAAGUUGCAGACCAAAGUUCUUUUUUGCAUUUUUGUCUUUCUGUUCAACAAAGAAAGAGUCAAAAACAAACAACUGUCAAAAGUUGAAAAUUAUUGUUCAAAAGCUACAAAGAUUUCAGGCAAGAAAUACAGCUCUAAACACUCUUAAAGUUGUUUAACGCACUUAAAGUUGGCACCUAGAAAAAAACUCAUUACCUACAAGUAUAAAAUUGAUUUGCAUAAUUUAUUUAUUGUUAGUUGACAUUUUCCUGUAAUUACCUGCACAUUUUUUGCUAUUGAUAUCACAAAUAUUUUAUUUAAAUAAUGGUUGGCAAUCUAUAUGCAAAAUUGUAUUAAUAGAGAACAUUACAAACAAACAAAGCAACAUUGCUGAAAUAUGUGUUGCAAAACUACAUAAUCUUGGCGUAAUGGACAAUUCCACACAUAAACAAUUCCAUUAUAGAUGCAGUGCUGAUUAUUUGAGAAUACUGAAUGUUCGAGUUGGUUGUUUUGUUGUUAAGUUGCUGUUAAAGCUGGUUGUUUUGGUAAAUUGGUUGAAUUUCUUUUGUACAAUUAGGCAAUGAAUGUCACUUUAGGAAUACAGUAAUACUACACAAAAUGCACUUAAAAAACUCAUUACCUAUAAUUUGGACAGUGAAUGUAACUUUAGGAAAAGAGUAAUGCUGUACAAAAUACACUUCAAAAACUCAUUGCCCUAAUUAUAAAAUUGACUCGGAAUAUUUAUUUAUCGUUAGUUGAUAUUUUCCCGUAAUUAGCUGCACAACAAUUGCUAUUGAUAUCACAAAUAUUUUCUAUUGUAGUAUUGGUUGGCAAUUCAUAAGCAACAUAGUUCUUAUGAAGAACAUUAUUACACGAAAGACACAAAACAACAUUACUGAUAUAUGUGUUGCAAAAAUACAUACUCUUGGCGUAAUGGACACUUCCAUACCUAAUUCCAUUAUAGAGGCAGUGCUGAGUAUUUGCGAAUACUAAAUGUUAGAGUUGGUUGUUUUGUGAUGAGUUGACUGUUGAGUCUGUUGCUUUUGUUGAUUGUUUUAAUUCCCUUUGUACUGUAAAAGAUGAAUAACACUUUGGGAAUACAGUAAGGCUACACAAAAAACUUAUUACCUAGUUAAAUAAUGGAUUUGCAUAAUUUAUUUGUUGUUAGUUCAUAUUUUCCUGUAAUUAACUGCACAACAAUUGCAAUUGAUAUCACAAAUAUAUUUAUUUAAUAUUGAAAUAUUGGUUGGCAAUUUGUAUGCAACAUUGUUUUUGUGGAGCACAUUCUAACACCACACAUACAAAAAAACGUUGCUAAAAUAUAUGUUGUGGCUAUACACAAUCUUGCCAUAAGAGACUUUUCCAAACAUCGAUAAUGUCAAAACAGAGGCAGUGAAUGCUAUACUCAAUACAGUUGUACAUGGUACACUUAAAAAAUGAGAUCUGCUUCUGACAGCGUCAACAUCUACAAUGAUGGUUCAACAGUACUAUAACCAGAACCUUGUUCUAUCAACAUUGUACUUACUAUAUUGUCUUUAAGGUUUGCAAGGAAGCUCCAUCCUUUACUAUUCCUAAUAGCUUUUGAACAGAAAGUUCGAACGAAAUAUUUAACACCUCUGACAGUGAUGGUUUUUUGUAGUUUCGGAAAUCAACUCAAUCUGCCUUGUUCUCCUUAUUUUCACUAUUUAUCAAUGAAUAUUUUGUCUCCUAUGCAGUUUGUGUCAGUUUAGAUCCUGUUACAGGUUCUUCUAAAAAAGCUUCCUCAUUGAAGUAUUCCGUUGAAAAGUGUCCAGUACUAUCCUGCUUAUAAGCUUGUCAUCAAUUUGACCUAGUAAAUUGGUUAUCCUUAAUACACAUCUUUUCCAAAAUUAUUACUCUGUGUGAAACUUUUAAAAAGCUGCAUUUCAGUUCCUCUUGUUGUAUAAAUUCAUUGGCAAAUAAAUGAAUAAGGUCUACGAUUCUCGCUGACUAAUAUUAUAAAAUCUGAAUAUUCCAAUUUCUCUUCCAACAGGUCUAGCAUAUUCCAACAUUGUUAUUACUUCAGAAGUUUAUUGUUUUCUUGUCGAUAUCAAAUGGAAGUUGGGGAUCUGGGUCUACACAUCAAUAUUUGCUGCUGUAGUUUGCACAUUCGGCCUCUUGAGAUUUAGCUUGGAUGUUCGGAAGAGUAGGAAUAUAAAUGAGAUUGUCACAACCUAAAACAAAAUGAGGUUGAAUUGGGGUUAAACUGAAAUAUGCAGGAAUCUUGGAUUCUGUUAACCCACAUCUAUACACAAUGCACUUAGAGAUUACCUUCUUUAUUUGGCUGUGUCAACAUAAACUAGGGUUCAGCAGAACAAUAACGAGCAUAUUGUUCAAUCAUCAUAGUACUCAAUGUAUUCUCCUUUUGGUUUGCAAAGAAACUCCACCCGUGUAAUCGUUAGUUAUGAACAAUAUACAGUAGAAAGUUCUGGUAACCAAAUGUCUAAUGCGUCUAGUUUUUUUUUUGUAGUUUCGGUAAUUAACACAAGUUGCCUGGUUCUUGCUCUUUUUCUACUGUCCAUCCAUGAAUUCUUUCUGCCCUUUGCAGUUUGUGCCAGUUUUUAAUAUUUUAACACUGGGGCUUAAACGAACAUUUUAAGUAUUCCGUAGAAAGUCUCCCCUAACAUCCUACUUAUGAGAUAUCAAUUAGUUUGAUCUAGGGAAUUUGUUAUUACUUUGGAAAAUAUGUAAUAUAAAAGAUAACUUUUUGUGAAACUUUUAAAAAUCUAGAUUUUCAUUCCUCCAGUUGAAUGAUUUUAUUGAAAAAUUACAUGCUAAAGAUAUUCUAUGAUUGCUGAUUUUGAAUGUUCCACUUCUUCUCCAAUAGGUCUUGUAUACUCAACAAUAGCUGUUGCUAAAGUAGUAUGGUGAAUGACUCCAAGCCACUGUUAACAUUACGUGCUUAUAUAACAAACUUGACGAUACAAGACAUAUAUAACACAUAUAAAAUGCAUAUAUAUUCCUUUGGGAACGUUUCACCCAUCUAUGUCAUAUUCUAUUCUACUUUGUGCACAACAUCAAGUGACUAUAUCAGCUGCAAGCCGAAGAAAUACCUAAGCAAUCUUAUCAUUACACUAAGGAAAACCACAAUUACAUGAUCUUACAGUAGUUUAUUAUUUUCUUUUCAGUAGUUUGGGAGAAACUGUAGAUAGCCCCUAGGUUCAUCUGGAUGUUCAUUUGCUCAAUGUUAGCACGUCUACUUGCGCGAGCACAUCUCCACAGCCGUUGUUCGCCUCUGUCAUCUAUGACCUGUAGUGCACCACAUUUUCCACGUACUGAUUUUGGACAGUCCCAUUUUGCCAUACACGGUACACUUUUACCAUGAUGGCGCGUAAACAGUUCACAAACUCAAUCAAAUUCGUUUUUCAUUGCAUUUAGAAUUGGAUUAUAGAAAUAUUUGACUUUUAAAAAUGGGCCAAUCGGCAGAAUUGGUGUGGAAAUUUGAGAGGGCUGUAACAUCAAUUUUUAUCUUUUUAGGGCUAACAGUUUCUCCAGGAAGCACACCACUCCGACAUACAUCUUUUUGAUCUUAUUUAUGUACAUUACCUACUUGCACUGGGAAAUUAAACUGUACUCCUGUGAGCAUGAGGAUAUCACGCCUUGAUUCUUCCAUUAAAAUCACUUGGUCAACCAAUGGUGUAAACUAUUAAAACCCGGGAUAUAUAUUAUCCAUUGUUUAUUAAAAUACAGCAAUUGUACAGAAUUCUCUUCUUGCGAACUUGGUAAACCUUAGAAAAAAAAUAAUAGUUACAUCUGUAGUACAAGGAAUCGUUGUUUCAUAACAAAAAAAAAUAUUAUUACAAAUUCUUACCAACUCAAAUUCAACAGUUCUCUUUCGUGUUAUCAGUUCAGGAAAGAACAAUUCAUUUCUCUUGUUCAAUGUCUAUCACACGAUUCGUAAACAUUUGAUGAAUUUAUUUCCACAUCCUCUCGACUCAUGGUAUUGAACCAAAGCAACUUCAUUUGAUUUCAAAUCUCGACAUUUAUUCCCUUGGUUCCCCGCAGCGACGUGCAUUGCUCGGUCGUCAUUGCUGCUGCUCUGGCAAAUAACAAGUGAAUCAUGUAGUCCAUAUCCGUCGGGACGCUGGACAGUCAAGACGUUGUGCAAUAUGCUUGCAAUUUAAAAAUCCAAACCUUGAUCUUAACCAAAUGGCUCAAAUUUAUAAAAGUUAAACAAAAUGUUUUUGGUUUUUAAAGAUUUUCCGGAACUUCAUAGUCUCUGCAUUCAUUAUGAAUUUCCUACAUUCUUCCGUAUACUAACAUAAUUUGGUCAUGCAUUUUUCAAAAAAAAUUUCCAACCCAUAUUCAGAUAAAUGAAAAUUUAACAUAACAUUCCAUGUUGAUAUUCUCUCUGUAUUGCGCAUAAUGAAAUUUUCUGAUAUGUUUAGAUGAAUGGUAAUUUUCCUAAUUCAGUGUCUUCAAGAAGAAAAAUUGAAUUUUCAUCAAGCUUUUGAAACUAACGUCAUAUCUAUGACAGCAGCGUUGUUCCUAAUAAAAACCAUGACUCAGUUUCUAAUACCAUACCUCAGUUUCUGAAAAUUCUCUUUCCAAUCAAAAUUUUCUGCAUUUUGAAGCAUAAACUCUUCAUCUGCUGUUUCAUCUAUCCAUGCACAAAUUGUGUUCUUUUUCACAUCCACCAGGUGUUGUUAAGGCAAGAGGUCUCUAAGCGUCUGCAUACUUAAAGUGAUCUCAUUGAAAGCGUUAGAAAACUCUGUUGAUAACAUUGUGUAUUUAUUUCAAAGCGUAAAUCCGAGCUAGAGUAUCUUUGGGAAAAAGGUUUUUAUUUUAACUUUGUAGUUUCAUUAAAUUUUUAGCACACUUUCAAUUCAUCAAAUGUAUAACUUUUAAGGACUUAAUUCUUGUCUACACUUCGGACUCGUUCGGUUUUCUUCCAAUCAAUCGUUUCGACACACUGCAAGUGGAAAGCGUGAUUGCAAUCAGUUAUUGGAGUUCAAACGAUAUAAGCAAAUCUCACAUUCUUUUCCAGUUAAAUGAUAGCUAAUAUUUGACAUGUUUUCUCUAUAUUCCUCAUGUGCUUUUAUAUUUAUCUUCUUUGCUAGACUGAAAGCGAAAUCAUAAUGUGAAUUCAAUAAAAAUGAAUUUAUCAAGGCAUACUUUUUUUUCUUCGUGAUUUUAAAUCUUAUAUUUCUAAAUAAUAAAUAAAAAUUUUUAACAGGGGACUAAAUAAUCUUCUCUUAGUUUAAUAUUCUAAGCACCUUUUAAAUGCGUUUUUGGGGACUUUGUAAAGUUUUUCCAAACAAAGUAUUAUUCAUUAGCUUGAAAAAGUCUUUUUCAAACUUAUGGAAUUUGAUUUUCUACAGUUCUUAUGUAUGGCUAUUUUUUUGUUAAUUACGUAGGGUCAGGUGAGGUAAAAUGGGUAGUCAAAAUAUAUGGUUUUAAAAACAAAUUAUUUUAAAUUAAAUUUGCAUUUUUGUGAGUGGGACAUUAUACUUGACUGUUCUGAAUUUUGUUUCACAAAAUAUAUUUUUCCAAUAGAUUAUUUUUUAGUGAGAGGUAACAUUUUAAAUUGAAGUAGAUAAAUUCAAGCCGCAUGUUGUCUGCUUAAACUUCUAUCUCCAGUUCCUGAUUUCUGAGAAAUUUUUAUUACUGUGUCAUAAUAUCUUUAGUUGGACAUUUUUGUUGCUGCUUCAACUUACAGGGAAUAAAAAAUUUUUUUUUUCAAUUUUUAAUCUCAUAUUUUGAAAAUGGGUAUAUGGUUAGGCUUAUCAUUCCAACAAGUUGUUUUAAAAGAUACAACAGCAUAGUUUCCUUUAAAUGAAUAUUAAUUCAUUUGUGGUUAAUUUAAAAUGAUUGAAACAUAAAAGUAUGCCAAUGCCAUGACUUUAUAAAAUAAACUUCGCUCCAUCAUAACAAAUAAUAAGAAGCCAGCGGUAUACUUAUUUUGGAGUUUUUGUGCACUUGCACACAAAAUAACGAUUUCCUCAGAAUAUGCUGGGCCCAGCCUGUUGCUGGUCGUCACAUUUGUAUUUGAUUGCAAUCGGAUGCUACCAAUUUCUCUAAUGAAUCUUUAAAUUCACAGAACACAUCCUUCUUUCAAUCUGAAAAUUAUGCCUCACAAAGCACGAUUUCGUCACCUUAUAAAGAUUUGAAAAGUGCAAUAUUGUCUGCAAUUUCAACAAGAGCUUCAGAUUUGACAAUUACCUGCAUGAGUUAUUUAAAACAACUUAAAUGUAUGCUGGCAAAUACAGGUAACAUUGGCAAAGAUGUUUCAGAAAGGCUAAGAGUUGAAAGUGGGAAAAAUAAUGAAUUAAAAAACAAGAAAAUAAAAAAUAGUAGGAAAAGAAAGUUUCCAUUCAGAGGAAGUAUCUGGAAUAGAAACUGUUAAAAAUAUGCUUAUGAAGCGAAGUUUAACCACAGGUGUCUGGGUAUAAAUAUUAUACUUAGAGGAAACAAGCAAAAAAGAAUUUAUCCACAAAUAUAUGGUUUUUGAGGAAAAUAUUAUGAGAUGAAAUAUUUUUAAAAAAUCCGAGAUGGGGGAGUUUUCUUAUUUUUCCUGAUAUAGACGGCAUGAAUUUCAUUAAAAAACAUCAAAUUAUAAAAAAAUUAAUGAGCCACAAUUUAACAAUAGAGGUCAUUUCUUUUUUUAAAGAAUGACAAGUAUGGAUAUCAUGCAUUGAAAGAAACCUCAUUAAUAUUUUGUCAAAUUUACCUUUUGCACUAUUUUUUUAAAAUUAAAUUGUAAAAUUUUGUUAACUGACUCUUAAGUCUAUAAUAUCACGUGCAUUGAACAAAAAGUUUGCUUUUUUAUCGCUUCUUAGACUUCAAUACCCAUUUUACCCCAGAGGCUACCCAUUUUCACCUGCGUGGGGUAAAAUGGGUAUAGAAAACAUAUAGUCAUAAACACUCCUUUAAAAAAUAAAUUUGUAUCAAAUUGUGUGUGAAAAUCAUUUAAUUCUACUCUCAACAUAUGUAAUGUAUACAUAAAACAAAAAAAAUUUAGAAACAAAAUAUUUUGACAAAAAUAUUUGAGUCAAAAUCCAAAAGUAGGCUAUUUUAUACCCAUUUUACCCCACCUGACCCUAUGAUUGCAGUCAAUCUUCUUGUUUGAAGCCAGUACGUGAUAGUUUUUUUUUUUUUUUUUUCUUCUUUGAGCCAUAAAAUUUCAGUUUCAUGCGAUUCAGUCUUUUUGUCAGACGAAAGGUAUCGUAGUGGGGAUCAGUACAUCUAGUACAAUUGUCUGUACCAUGUCACGAAAUCUUUGAAUGUCCACACCGCUGGCAUCUAUAAAUAUGCUAAGUUAAACGUGUUUAAAAUAAGAAUUUUCUUGGUACAUUUGAACGUUAGUUUCAUUUCCACUAUUUCUUUCAGACAAGUUAAGUGGAUCAUUUUUAUUGCAUUUAAUGUUUAAUGUAGAAAGAUGCAACUCAGUAAGAAGUUUUAGAAUUCGACUGCUAUUUUCUACCAGAAUUCUUGUUUCGUUUCUAAUUUCCCGACAAUAUUUGAAAUAUUUAUCUCCUUUGGAUUUAUUUUGUUGAAAAGAAGAACAAAACUUAUAUGUCAUCCUCUUUUUCUAGGUUAUGUGGUAGUUGAAAUCUCAGUUUCAUGCGAUUCAGUCUUUUUGUUUUGUUGAAAGCGGGCCAUUUUUCUUUCUUUGAAACGUUUUGAUGUUUCCUUUUUCAUUUUUGAAGUUUACAAUAUAUUCUUCUGAAAAAACUUUUGGAAAUCAUUACUUAAACUUACUAUUGAACACUUUAAUUCUACACAAUCUUCUUCGUCAUUGCAACCAAUAUAUUCAAUUUUGAAUACAAAUCGUUAAGCUGUGCUUGAGUCAUUAUUAAUGAAGAAAACAAAGUCUUAAAUUGUCGUUAAUCGAGCUUCAUAUAUUCCUUAUUUUUAGGAACAAAUACAUUUUAGGCGCAAAAUUGCAAGAAGUUUUAGAAUUCGACUGCUAUUUGGUCCUAGAAUUAUUUCUUGUUUCGUUUCUAAUUUGCUGACAAUAUUUGAACUAUUUAUCUCCUUUGGAUUUUUUUUUGUUGAAAAGAAGAACGAAACUUAUGUCAUCCUCUUUUUCUAGGUUAUGUGGUAGUUGAAAUUUCACUUUCAUGCGAUUCAGUCUUUUUGUUUUGUACAAAGCGGGCCAUUUUUCUUUCUUUGAAACGUUUUGAUGUUUCCGUUUUCUUUUUUGAAGUCUACAAUAUAUUCUUCUGAAAAAACUUUUGGAAAUCAUUACUUAAACUUACUACUGAACACUUUAAUUCUACACAAUCUUCUUCGUCAUUGCAACCAAUAUAUUCAAUUUUGAAUACAAAUCGUUAAGCUGUGCUUGAGUCAUCAUUAAUGAAUGUAACCGAAAGUCAUAAAUCGUCGUUUAUCAAAUUUCAUAUAUUCCAAAUUUUUAGGAGCAAAAUUUGAUAGUUUUAUUUAACGGAAAAAAAUAUAAUUCAGGUUAUGUUCCCUACUAAGUAGUAUUAUUAAAUCUGAUGAACAGUCGCAUAGUACUUGAUAUCGAAUUACUAUAUGCUUUUACUUGAAAUACGUUUUAAUUUUUCUGACAAAGCAGGAUUAUAAAUUGCAUUCCUCGCAUCAUGUCGAUACGUGUUAUGCAACCUUUUUACAUCAGCACUGUAAAGUUAUUUUAAAUAUUUAGCUUGAAAAUACCCAUUUGCAUACAAAUGAAUUAAUUUUGAUUGGUUAAUGGAACAUUUUAACUUCAAAAUCCAAUCAGAAUCGCACGUUCCAUCCUCAAAGUAUUUUACACUAUAUGCCAGCGUAAAUGAAUGGACACCGUUUAACGGAUUGUGCUUGAAUUUAAAAGCUAUGUAUCCAAUGUUUAUUUUGCAUCGCUUUGCGUUGGGUAGUUUGCUACUCAACUGCCUUCUUAGAGUCCUUUCCAAGUCACUGUAAAAUAACAGUAUUUUUUUUUAUUUUUUGCAAAUUUAUGUGUAGCCCUCCUUUAACACUUAGAAACACUGUUUCAAUCAUAUUUUCUGCUUGCUCACAAAUAUCCUAUUACUCCGAACUGGUUUCUGUACCCGAAAGUCUUAAAGCAGGUGCUUUUUGAAGCAAGGUUAGGAAAUAUGUACAAUAUUUCAAUUCAUACGAUUAAAAGUCUUUAUUUUGUAGAUAAAUACUUGAUAUAACAGUACUUUGAAACAUAUAACGCAAACACUUGCAAACUAGUGCUUUGAAAUUUGCAACGAUAAUAUUUUCUUUGUAUGCUGCUUUACAUAUCUUCAAAAAAUUAAUGGUCUACGUUCUUCUGUUCAGAAAUCUUCUUCAUUGAAUUCUUGAGUUCGAAAUCAUUUUUUAAAAGGCUUCCGUUCACCAGCUGAGAAAGGUCAUCCUUUGGUGUCUUUUGCAAUACAUUCCUUGAAGCGGAAAUGUGGUUCUAUUAUUUAACAAUACUUCACAGAGUCUAUGAAGGUUCAGGAGGAUUGAAGAUGGUGUGAUUUUAGGAUAGUUAAACUUUAUCAUGUUUAAAAACAUAUGACAGAAAUAAAUAUUGAUUAUUUUAUACUUAUUCAAUUUUGUCCCUUGAAAAAGCAAACUGUUUCUAUAAACCAGAUGCUCUUUAAGUAUAGUUGGAUAUUCUUUUUAGCAAUCUCUCUCUUUCUCUCUCUAUAUAUUUAUAUAUACAUCUGAAUAUUUCUAUAAAAAUAACUUUAUAUAACCUAACAAAGAAAAACUUCUUUUACGUCAGUGCAAAAAAAAAAAAAAGAGCAAA